UACGGGGGGGGCAAGCGUUGUUCGGAAUUACUGGGCGUAAAGGGCUCGUAGGUGGCCAACUAAGUCAGACGUGAAAUCCCUCGGCUUAACCGGGGAACUGCGUCUGAUACUGGAUGGCUUGAGUUUGGGAGAGGGAUGCGGAAUUCCAGGUGUAGCGGUGAAAUGCGUAGAUAUCUGGAGGAACACCGGUGGCGAAGGCGGCUCACUGGCUCGUUUCUGACGCUCAGGCGCGAUAGCGUGGGGAUCAAACAGG
rnacentral:rRNA from 1 species